GAUCCUGGCUCAGGAUGAACGCUGGCGGCGCGCCUAACACAUGCAAGUCGAACGAGAGAGAGGGAGCUUGCUUCCUUGAUCGAGUGGCGAACGGGUGAGUAACGCGUGAGGAACCUGCCUCAAAGAGGGGGACAACAGUUGGAAACGACUGCUAAUACCGCAUAAGCCCACGGCUCGGCAUCGAGCAGAGGGAAAAGGAGCAAUUCGCUUUGAGAUGGCCUCGCGUCCGAUUAG
rnacentral:rRNA from 1 species